rnacentral:rRNA from 1 species
UGGGGAAUUUUGGACAAUGGGGGAAACCCUGAUCCAGCCGUCCCGCGUGUGCGAUGAAGGCCUUCGGGUUGUAAAGCACUUUUGGCAGGAAAGAAACGUCGCGGGUUAAUACCCCGCGAAACUGACGGUACCUGCAGAAUAAGCACCGGCUAACUACGUGCCAGCAGCCGCGGUAAUACGUAGGGUGCAAGCGUUAAUCGGAAUUACUGGGCGUAAAGCGUGCGCAGGCGGUUCGGAAAGAAAGAUGUGAAAUCCCAGAGCUUAACUUUGGAACUGCAUUUUUAACUACCGGGCUAGAGUGUGUCAGAGGGAGGUGGAAUUCCGCGUGUAGCAGUGAAAUGCGUAGAUAUGCGGAGGAACACCGAUGGCGAAGGCAGCCUCCUGGGAUAACACUGACGCUCAUGCACGAAAGCGUGGGGAGCAAACAGGAUUAGAUACCCUGGUAGUCCACGCCCUAAACGAUGUCAACUAGCUGUUGGGGCCUUCGGGCCUUGGUAGCGCAGCUAACGCGUGAAGUUGACCGCCUGGGGAGUACGGUCGCAAGAUUAAAACUCAAAGGAAUUGACGGGGUCAUAGCUG